GAUGAACGCUGGCGGCGUGCCUAAUACAUGCAAGUCGAGCGAACAGACGAUGAUCUUGCUCCUCUGACGUUAGCGGCGGACGGGUGAGUAACACGUGGAUAACCUACUUAUAAUACUGGGAUAACUUCGGGAAUCCGGAGCUUAUACCGGAUAACAUGUUGAACCGCAUGGUGCAACAGUGAAAGACGGUCGUGCUGUCACUUAUAGAUGGAUCCGCGCCGCAUUAGCUAGUUGGGAAGGUAACGGCUUACCAAGGCAACGAUGCGUAGCCGACCUGAGAGGGUGAUCGGCCACCCUGGAACUGGGCCACGGUCCAGACUCCUACGGGAGGCAGCAGUAGCGAAUCUUCCGCAAUGGGCGAAAGCCUGACGGAGCAACGCCGCGUGAGUGAAGAAGGUCUUCGGAUCGUAAAACUCUGUUAUUAGGGAAGAACAAAUGUGUAAGUAACUAUGCACGUCUUGACGGUAACUAAUCAGAAAGCCACGGCUAACUACGUG
rnacentral:rRNA from 1 species